ACGUCACAGGGGCAGGGCCUGGAGGAGGGCAUGGGACCCCGGGCCCUUCCUCUCUCUUUUGCUUCCUGGUAAAGCACCCAUCUAACCAUGAGUCUCCAAGGGCUGGGCUAACCAUGGACCUUAGCCUCAGAAACCGAGUCCACCAUGACAUCAUCUGCUAUGUUGGAUAUGGCCAGAAGACCCUCACUGGAGCCAUGAGACACUGGAGCCAUACUCUUGGAUCUGCAGAACUGUGAGCUCAGUUACUUUCUUUUCUUUAGUGUCUGCUGAGCUCUGUAAAGGGUACAGAUCACUGUAUUAUUCCGAAUCUGGUCAAGCGAAACUCCCAUGCUUAUACUGAGGGAUGGAAGGAACCCUUCCUCUAACUCCAUCGUCCACCAACUGCAAAAUAAUUAGAAAUUCUUGGUGGGAGUACAGUGUGUGCGGUGCAUCACCGGAAUGGAGUCUCCCUUGCAGGGAGACACAGGACACAAGGGCAAAUCGGUGUGUGUGGACAAGGGGCCCAGAAGUGGACAGCCUCAGGAAUUAGAAAAUGUGGGUUAGUUGGUGGCUUCAUUUCCUGGGGCUCCUGUGACAGAGGACCACAAACCUGGGGCUGGAAACAACAGGAACUCACACCUCUGAAGGGGAGAAACCUGAAUCCAGGAGUCAGCACGGCCACACUCCACCAAGGCUCUGGGGAGCCUGUCCCUUGUCUCUCCCUCUCCCGGCUGGUGGCUCCAGAUGAUGGCCACUUUCUAAUCUCUGUCUCCCCCUUCUCACUGCCACCUCCUCCUCUUUGUGCAUCUCUCGGCUGUCUCUUAGGAGGACAUUGGUCCUUGGGUUUGGGGCUGGUCCAGACAACAAGCCCAUGAAUCAUUUCAUCUCAAGGUGCUUAAUUAUAUCUGGACAGACCCUUUUUCCAAAUAAAGUCACAUUCCAGACCUCAUGAAUUAUAUUGGGGACAGAGCCUUAGGGGGGCCACCCUGGAGCCCCUGCAGAACACAACUUUCUCAGACCGUGGAGGGGGCGGCAGUGGUUAGGCUUGCUUUCCUUCUGACUGGACACUAGUGGCUCAUGGUGAGGGCCACUCAUUCUGCAACUUCGCUGAGAAACCCAAGCCCCACUGUGGGCUCUCACAGCCAAAAAAACCAGAAAGCAUUCUGGGAAAUGUGGCUGGGUGCCCACCUCUGCCCCGCGGUGCAGAUGAAAAACAGAAAGCAUUCUGGGAAAUGCUGAUGACCACCACCUCCUGCCCCACUACACAGAUGACCCCUCGGCUGGGCCUGUUCUCAAAACCCCUGCUUUGGCCGCCAUCCCAGGCCCCAAAUGUUUUAAGCCCUGUCAGAUUUAUGACCUUGGGCAUUGAUCUUGCUUCUUCGAAUCCCUUGACAAGCAUUCACUGGCUGCCCACCCUGCAUCAGGCCUCGGGCAUGUGUGGAAAGUCCUGCCCAUUUGGCCACCAGCUUGGACUAGUUCUGUAAAGUCCUGAAUUCC